UUUCUAUCUUCCCCUCCCUCUUCAUCUUCAUCCCUAUUCUUCCCCAUUCCCCCAUUUGACCAAUGAAAUCUCUACUGUCUAAAGGCUAAUUGGUUCAUCAAUGACCUUGUGUCAGAUGAAUCAAUACAGGUGUGACUGAGAUAGGUCGUUCCCAUUUUCUUUUAGUGUGUUGUAUGUUUUAGGAAUUUGGUUCUUCAUACCAAAUCUCUAACAUACAUUAACCCCUAAAUUUUUAUUG
rnacentral:lncRNA from 1 species